GCAGCGAACGAGUGAGAUAUCAUGUUCAACACGAGAAAUAAAUCUGGUAUUUCCAAGCAGCCAUGUAUUUUUCUGUUUAUUAUAUAAACAAAAUUCAGUGAAAAACAAUAAAACGUCCGUGGCAAUGCGUUUUACAACAAAUGAUAUUUUCACACGUAAAAAUAUUGUAUUUUUUACGUGUGUUUAAAUACGAUUUUUCUCAGUGGCCAAAAACUCUAUA